CAGCAGCCGCGGGAAUACGAAGGGUGCAAGCGUUACUCGGAAUUACUGGGCGUAAAGCGUGUGUAGGUGGUUGUUUAAGUCUGUCGUGAGAGCCCUGGGCUCAACCUGGGAAUUGCGAUGGAUACUGGGCGACUAGAGUGCGGUAGAGGAUAGUGGAAUUUCCGGUGUAGCAGUGAAAUGCGUAGAGAUCGGAAGGAACAUCUGUGGCGAAGGCGACUAUCUGGGCCAACACUGACACUGAGACACGAAAGCGUGGGGAGCAAACAGGAUUAGAUACCCCCGUAGUCCCUGUCUCUUACAC
rnacentral:rRNA from 1 species